rnacentral:rRNA from 1 species
UACGUAGGGUGCAAGCGUUUAAUCGGAAUUACUGGGCGUAAAGCGUGCGCAGGCGGUCAUGCAAGACAGAUGUGAAAGCCCCGGGCUCAACCUGGGAACUGCAUUUGAGACUGCUCUGCUCGGGUGCGGAAGAGGGAAGCGGAAUUUCCGGUGUAGCGGUGAAAUGGACGUCAGAGUAUCGGAAGGAACACCAGUGGCGAAAGCGGCUUCCUGGUCCGA